AGAGUUUGAUCAUGGCUCAGAUUGAACGCUGGCGGCAGGCCUAACACAUGCAAGUCGAGCGGUAGCACAGAGAGCUUGCUCUCGGGUGACGAGCGGCGGACGGGUGAGUAAUGUCUGGGAAACUGCCUGAUGGAGGGGGAUAACUACUGGAAACGGUAGCUAAUACCGCAUAACGUCGCAAGACCAAAGUGGGGGACCUUCGGGCCUCAUGCCAUCAGAUGUGCCCAGAUGGGAUUAGCUAGUAGGUGGGGUAACGGCUCACCUAGGCGACGAUCCCUAGCUGGUCUGAGAGGAUGACCAGCCACACUGGAACUGAGACACGGUCCAGACUCCUACGGGAGGCAGCAGUGGGGAAUAUUGCACAAUGGGCGCAAGCCUGAUGCAGCCAUGCCGCGUGUGUGAAGAAGGCCUUCGGGUUGUAAAGCACUUUCAGCGGGGAGGAAGGCGGUGAGGUUAAUAACCUCAUCGAUUGACGUUACCCGCAGAAGAAGCACCGGCUAACUCCGUGCCAGCAGCCGCGGUAAUACGGAGGGUGCAAGCGUUAAUCGGAAUUACUGGGCGUAAAGCGCACGCAGGCGGUCUGUCAAGUCGGAUGUGAAAUCCCCGGGCUCAACCUGGGAACUGCAUUCGAAACUGGCAGGCUAGAGUCUUGUAGAGGGGGGUAGAAUUCCAGGUGUAGCGGUGAAAUGCGUAGAGAUCUGGAGGAAUACCGGUGGCGAAGGCGGCCCCCUGGACAAAGACUGACGCUCAGGUGCGAAAGCGUGGGGAGCAAACAGGAUUAGAUACCCUGGUAGUCCACGCCGUAAACGAUGUCGAUUUGGAGGUUGUGCCCUUGAGGCGUGGCUUCCGGAGCUAACGCGUUAAAUCGACCGCCUGGGGAGUACGGCCGCAAGGUUAAAACUCAAAUGAAUUGACGGGGGCCCGCACAAGCGGUGGAGCAUGUGGUUUAAUUCGAUGCAACGCGAAGAACCUUACCUGGUCUUGACAUCCACAGAACUUUCCAGAGAUGGAUUGGUGCCUUCGGGAACUGUGAGACAGGUGCUGCAUGGCUGUCGUCAGCUCGUGUUGUGAAAUGUUGGGUUAAGUCCCGCAACGAGCGCAACCCUUAUCUUUUGUUGCCAGCGGUUAGGCCGGGAACUCAAAGGAGACUGCCAGUGAUAAACUGGAGGAAGGUGGGGAUGACGUCAAGUCAUCAUGGCCCUUACGACCAGGGCUACACACGUGCUACAAUGGCAUAUACAAAGAGAAGCGACCUCGCGAGAGCAAGCGGACCUCAUAAAGUAUGUCGUAGUCCGGAUUGGAGUCUGCAACUCGACUCCAUGAAGUCGGAAUCGCUAGUAAUCGUAGAUCAGAAUGCUACGGUGAAUACGUUCCCGGGCCUUGUACACACCGCCCGUCACACCAUGGGAGUGGGUUGCAAAAGAAGUAGGUAGCUUAACCUUCGGGAGGGCGCUUACCACUUUGUGAUUCAUGACUGGGGUGAAGUCGUAACAAGGUAACCGUAGGGGAACCUGCGGUUGGAUCACCU
rnacentral:rRNA from 1 species